rnacentral:rRNA from 1 species
CAAGCGGAGGAGCAUGUGGUUAAUUCGAUGAUACGCGAGGAACCUUACCUGGGCUCGAACGUAAGAUGACUGUAGGUGAAAGCUUACAUCUCUUCGGAGCAUUUUACGAGGUGCUGCAUGGUUGUCGUCAGCUCGUGCCGUGAGGUGUCGGGUUAAGUCCCAUAACGAGCGCAACCCCUACCUUUAGUUGCCAUCAGGUAAUGCUGGGGACUCUAAAGGAACUGCCUACGCAAGUAGUGAGGAAGGCGGGGAUGACGUCAAAUCAGCACGGCCCUUACGUCCAGGGCUACACACGUGCUACAAUGGCCGAUACAGAGGGCAGCUACCUGGUGACAGGAUGCAAAUCUCCAAAGUCGGUCUCAGUUCGGAUCGGAGUCUGCAACCCGACUCCGUGAAGUUGGAUUCGCUAGUAAUCGCGCAUCAGCCAUGGCGCGGUGAAUACGUUCCCGGGCCUU